AAACAUUCAUUCAAUGCAUUGUUUGUUAUUUAUGUACACUCAUCAAAUGCAUAAACAAAUCAGGCUUGAAAAAAAAUCAAAUUCUGCUGGUUUUAAAUCCCAGUAUCUGAAUUUGGUGGAUCUCAAAGGUUGUUUUUGAGUUAAGACCUGACAUGACAUGACGUGACAUAACAGACAAUCUGAUACAGUGUCCAUAACAACAGUUCAUUGUUAUGGACACUGACUGCGAUUGAGAUUGAUGUUAAUAGGACAAAAAUUACAAUGUCAAGUCUUGCUUAAAUGAUAGAACAAGGUGGGGUAUAGACACGUUCUGAACUUUUUAUUUGUGUAAAAUACGUGAAUGUCUUCAUCAUUAAAUAUAGCUUUAGAAAGCUUGUUCAAUAUCUAUUCUUUCAAUAACAUAAUUGAAACACUUUGUAAAUACAUUCAACUAGAAAAGUACACUAAGUAAAAUAUUGAAUUUGGUCAACCAGCUACCCCUAUAUCUAAUUGAAUUACUUUUGUAACUUCAAUUGUGUAGUACUUACGAAAGAAAUUUGAUUAUUUAAAUGGGACAAAUGGAAAACUAAGUUACUUUUCUAUUAUCUUAUUGCUUAGAAGUUUUUAAAAGAACGCUUAAAAUAAGAGAUGAGGUCAAAUAUAAACAAUUAGAUCAGGUUGAACACAUGGUUUUGUGAAAGUUGUUCUCACUUUUCAUCCGUUAAUCACGGAAAAGGCUUUGUAUUAAAAGGGGAAAUUUAGGUCAGAACAAUGUAACCAAUAAACUAUACCAAUACAUGCUAAAUUUGGUUUUGUUUUAGGUUUUAGAUUUUCCAAAGUUUGAUCAUAUGCUCUCUGCUUUUUAAAAGUUGGUUUUGGUUUGUAUCAACUUUGUGAACUUGAAAAGGGACUAUGUUUGUCAAAUAAUAAAAACUUGGAUUUGUGUUGAGUUAAUGGUUGGAUUUUAUACACCCACAUUCCUCUUUAGUAAUUACAAAAUAUGGGCGAUUAAAAAUAUAUAGGGAACUAUUCACACCUCAUUAUUUUGGGCUUUUUGAACUAUUCACACCUCAUUAUUUUGGGUUUUUGUUCAAAUACGAUUUUAACAGAGAGCACAGUAACACACUAAUUGUUGAAGUUUUUACGGAGGAGGGAGUCGUUCCCACUAAACCCACUGCAACAUCAGCUUUUCUCUUUGAUUUUUCUUCAUUUUUCCGAACCCACAACACACGAAAAUCCUAUCUUUCUCAAUCCACUCAACCCACUCAAUUAAAAAAAUAUACAAAAUAAUCAAGGUAAAAUCUUAAUUAGCAAUAGAGUUACCGUCGGUACCACUUCCUCUUCGGCGGGUUGUUUAAUUGGUUUCACGAACCCACUUCAUCCUCUCUCUACUUUCUCUCUCUCAUUUUCUCUUGUACCAUAUGUUUUAAGACUUGUAUCUUAGUUGUUUAGUAUUUUUUUUAAUUGAGUGGAUUGAGUGAGUUGAAAAAGAUAGGAUUUCUGUGUGUUGUGGGUUCGAAAAGAUGAAGAAAAAUCAAAAAGAAAAACUGAUGUGGCAGUGAGUUUAGUGGGAACGACUCCCUCCUCCCUUAUAGCAACAAAUAUNUCAGAUUCCAUUGGGUUUGAUUCAUGGAAGGGUUACUCACAUUGUUUGGCCACCACAAAGAAUCAGAAAAAUUGAUAGAAGAAUCCCACAAGAGGGACUUGCAUAAACAUUCAUUCAAUGCAUUGUUUGUUAUUUAUGUACACUCAUCAAAUGCAUAAACAAAUCAGGCUUGAAAAAAAAUCAAAUUCUGCUGGUUUUAAAUCCCAGUAUCUGAAUUUGGUGGAUCUCAAAGGUUGUUUUUGAGUUAAGACCUGACAUGACAUGACGUGACAUAACAGACAAUCUGAUACAGUGUCCAUAACAACAGUUCAUUGUUAUGGACACUGACUGCGAUUGAGAUUGAUGUUAAUAGGACAAAAAUUACAAUGUCAAGUCUUGCUUAAAUGAUAGAACAAGGUGGGGUAUAGACACGUUCUGAACUUUUUAUUUGUGUAAAAUACGUGAAUGUCUUCAUCAUUAAAUAU
rnacentral:lncRNA from 1 species